rnacentral:rRNA from 1 species
AACGUAGGAGACGAGCGUUAUCCGGAUUUACUGGGCGUAAAGGGCAAGUAGGCGGUGGGCAAAGUUGGACGUGACAUCUCUCGGCUUAACUGGGAGGGGUCGUCCAAAACUAGCCGACUAGAGGGCAGGAGAGGGGAGUGGAAUUCCUAGUGUAGCGGUGGAAUGCUUAGAUAUUAGGAAGAACACCAGUGGCGAAGGCGACUCUCUGGCCUGACCCUGACGCUGAGAGGCGAAAGCUAGGGGAGCGAACGGG